AACGAACGCUGGCGGCAGGCCUAACACAUGCAAGUCGAGCGCCCCGCAAGGGGAGCGGCGGACGGGUGAGUAACACGUGGGAAUUUUCCUCAAGGUACGGAACAACUCAGGGAAACUUGGGCUAAUACCGUAUGAUGCAGAGAUGCCAAAGAUUUAUCGCCUUGGGAUAAGCCCGCGUCAGAUUAGGUAGUUGGUGGGGUAAUGGCCUACCAAGCCUGUGAUCUGUAGCUGGUCUGAGAGGACGAUCAGCCACAUUGGGACUGAGACACGGCCAAAAACCCAACGGGAGGCAGCAGUGGGUAAUCUUGCGAAAUGGAAGAAAGUCUGCCGCAGCCAUGCCGGGUGAAUGAUGAAGUUCUUAGGAUUGUAAAGUUCUUUAGCCUGUGACGAUGAUGCCGGUAACAGGAGAAUAAGCCCCGGCUAACUUCGUGCCAGCCGCCGCGGUAA
rnacentral:rRNA from 1 species